CACGAACGGACACACGGGCACAGGCAGGGGGCUCACUGUAGGGUUGGUCAUUGGUAGAUCUGCUUUUGAUGCAUUUCAGAUCCUAUCCGCUUAAUCUAAAGCAGACCCCCCAGUCUAAAGGGGGUGGGGGGGACUCGCUACCCUUUACGAGCAUCACUCCCGUAUACACCCCUAUAUUGAUCUUUGAGUGGACACAGUCCUUGCAAGUAUAGCGCUUACAGCGCAACCGGACAUUACCACCAAGCCAUCGGGAGAUGUAUAUCAUGAGUGGGCCCUUUUCCAGGUACCUGCAGCGCUUCUACGAUGUUCUCUUUUCAAGUAUGAUGAGUUUGCCACAACUCAACACACCUCCUUGGAACUUUAUACAACCAAUAGACAUUGCUCCAAUCUUUUCUUGACGACUGUCUCACCGCGGGGCUCCGCUUCAGAGACCGGAUAACCGGCGGCCGCGUCGCUAACUCUCCCUUGCCGGGAGAGCGCUUCACGGCACCUUUUCCGUUCAGCGAUCCCCAGAUGAUACUCACAGAAGUACGCACAGUGCUGCCUUAAAUGAUAAUAUAUGUAUUACAUAUUAUUACUGUUGGUUUUCUUUACUGUUUCUUUACUGUUUAUUUACAUCAGUUGCUAUGACUACCUGACGUCACUCCCGGUGUGCCGAGUGAAUGACGCCACUUCAUGGGCGCCUCCUCGCGCUUUUAAACCGCCACUUGCAGUGGUUCAGGUUAGACAGCAGAGGAAGGCAUACAUUGCCGAAACGCAUCCUGUACCAAAAGAUGUAUUUCUACAAAUAAAACUGAA